rnacentral:lncRNA from 1 species
CCCUUGAUUUUGUUGUCUUCUUAAUAAUUUGGAAGCUUACUCUGUUUCGUUAAAGCUUGAUCUGAAAAUAAUCUUAUUGCGUUAUAUGUUUCAAGCUCUGUUUACAAGUAAGUUGAAAGAUCCACUCAUUUUUUAUGUCUGAGUUAUAUACUCUAAUAUCACAUGAUUCUGGAAGUUCAAAUGAUACUUAAUUUAUUUGGCUAUUUGCAACUUUGAAAUCUUUAUCCAAGUAGGAAUCAUGUUGGGAAGUUAGGUCAGUACAGGUAAAUCAAAUUCUUCUGGGUUAUUAUAAAGGGAUUUAAAAUUAUGUUUAAAUCAUGUUGGGAAGUUAGGUCAGUACAGGUAAAUCAAAUUCUUCUGGGUUAUUAUAAAGGGAUUUAAAAUUACGUUUAAAGCUUUUUGUGAAAUUACAGUGAUGGCAGAUUGGUUUAUAGGGGUUAAUGUUGGUCUAUGGAUGAACUAAAGUUGAACUAGAUGCUUUGAGAAACCUAGCUUUUCAUGAAAUUAAAUUUCAUGAUCCCUUGUCAAUACCUUUCUUUGGCCACACUUUGGUCGCCCUCAUUGAAUGGAAGCUAGAUACUGGGUAAUAUAUUUAGAUUUUGGUAUAUGAUCAACUUAUGGAGGACAGUAAAACAUGUGGCAAUUCUGUAAGUUGUGUAUCAUUGUUAUAAAUUGUAGCUAUGUAAAGAACUAGGAACUUGGGGAGAAAUCCCAAGAGAAAAGAAGGGACUUCUUAUUUCGAAUAAAAAGAAGAGAAAAAAAGAAGGAAUUUCUACAAUUAUCACACAAGUAUGAAUAUGGGGAGCCCUCCUUGGAACCUUAGGCAUCAAACUUGGGUUAGAUUGCAUCUUUGUGUCCUACAGAGAACCAUAUUCUAACGGGAACAUAUGUUGGAUUCAUUCAUGUGAAAACAAAUAUUUAUAAGCCUAUACAUGGAGUGCUGUAAUGAUAUUCGUUUUCGAUAAAACUCAGACUCCUUAAUAGUAAUGAAAGACACUAGAGAUAUGGUUUCUAAUUCUAGGUUUCUCCAUCACAAUAAAAGCAGUGUUGCUGCAGUUGGGAUUGAUCCAACCCAAAUGUGCCAGGUCCUAAGUUGGUUUAACAUGCUUUGGUUUAUUCCUUCUUUCCCAC